GGCGGACGGGUGACUAACGCGUGGGAAUAUGCCCAAAGGUACGGCAUAGCCCCGGGAAACUGGGAGUAAUACCGUAUGUGCCCUUCGGGGGAAAGAUUUAUCGCCUUUGGAUUAGCCCGCGUUGGAUUAGGUAGUUGGUGGGGUAAUGGCCUACCAAGACGACGAUCCAUAGCUGGAUUAGAGGAUGAUCAGCCACACUGGGACUGAGACACGGCCCAGACUCCUACGGGAGGCAGCAGUGGGGAAUCUUAGACAAUGGGGGAAACCCUCAUCUAGCCAUGCCGCGUGAGUGACCAAGGCCUUAGGGUCGUAAACCUCUUUCGCCAGGGAUGAUAAUGACAGUACCUGGUAAAGAAACCCCGGCUAACUCCGUGCCAGCAGCCGCGGUAAUACGGAGGGGGUUAGCGUUGUUCGAAUUUCUGGGCGUAAAGCGCGCGUAGGCGGAAUGGAAAGUUAGAGGUGAAAUCCCAGGGCUCAACCCGGGAACUGCCUUUAAAACUCCCAGUCUUGAGUUCGAGAGAGUGAGAGGAAUUCCGAGUGUAGAGGUGAAAUUCGUAGAUAUUCGGAGGAACACCAGUGGCCAAGGCGGCUCA
rnacentral:rRNA from 1 species